rnacentral:sRNA from 1 species
GCAUAUCAAUAAGCGGAGGAAAAGAAACCAACAGGGAUUGCCUCAGUAACGGCGAGUGAAGCGGCAACAGCUCAAAUUUGAAAUCUGGCCGCAAGGUCCGAGUUGUAAUUUGUAGAGGAUGCUUUUGGCGAGGUGACUUCCGAGUUCCCUGGAACGGGACGCCAUAGAGGGUGAGAGCCCCGUACGGUCGUGCCACCGAGCCUCUGUAAAGCUCCUUCGACGAGUCGAGUAGUUUGGGAAUGCUGCUCUAAAUGGGAGGUGUACGUCUUCUAAAGCUAAAUACCGGCCAGAGACCGAUAGCGCACAAGUAGAGUGAUCGAAAGAUGAAAAGCACUUUGAAAAGAGGGUUAAAAAGUACGUGAAAUUGUUGAAAGGGAAGCAUUCAUGACCAGACUUGGGCUUGGUUGAACAUCCGGCGUUCUCGCCGGUGCACUCUGCCAGCUCAGGCCAGCAUCAGUUUGCCCCGGGGGACAAAGGCGGUGGGAAUGUAGCUCCCUUCGGGGAGUGUUAUAGCCCGCCGUGUAAUGCCCUGGGGUGGACUGAGGUUCGCGCUUCGG